CGGCUCCCGCGGUGGCCGGAUGUGCGCCGCGGGAGCUCUCGUCGGUUGCCGUCUUCUGCAGGCACACUGGGAGGCAUAAGAUGUCACA
rnacentral:lncRNA from 1 species